GCCCAGAUAGCUCAGCCUGGGAGAGCGCUGCGCUGAAGACGCAGAAGUCCCCGGUUCAAGUCCGGGUCUGGGCA
rnacentral:tRNA from 1 species